rnacentral:rRNA from 1 species
AUUGAACGCUGGCGGCAGGCUUAACACAUGCAAGUCGAGCGGGGGAAGGUAGCUUGCUACCGGACCUAGCGGCGGACGGGUGAGUAAUGCUUAGGAAUCUGCCUAUUAGUGGGGGACAACAUCUCGAAAGGGAUGCUAAUACCGCAUACGUCCUACGGGAGAAAGCAGGGGAUCUUCGGACCUUGCGCUAAUAGAUGAGCCUAAGUCGGAUUAGCUAGUUGGUGGGGUAAAGGCCUACCAAGGCGACGAUCUGUAGCGGGUCUGAGAGGAUGAACCGCCACACUGGGACUGAGACACGGCCCAGACUCCUACGGGAGGUAGCAGUGGGGAAUAUUGGACAAUGGGGGGAACCCUGAUCCAGCCAUGCCGCGUGUGUGAAGAAGGCCUUAUGGUUGUAAAGCACUUUAAGCGAGGAGGAGGCUACUCUAGUUAAUACCUAGGGAUAGUGGACGUUACUCGCAGAAUAAGCACCGGCUAACUCUGUGCCAGCCGCCGCGGUAA